AGAAUCAACGCUGGCGGCGUGCCUAACACAUGCAAGUCGAACGAGAAAGGGUAGCAAUACCUGAGUACAGUGGCGCACGGGUGAGUAACACGUGACUAACCUACCCUGGAGUGGGGAAUAACUGAGGGAACCUUAGCUAAUACCGCAUAAUACCUACGGGUCAAAGGAGCAAUUCGCUUCAGGAGGGGGUCGCGGCCGAUUAGUUAGUUGGCGGGGUAAUGGCCCACCAAGACAGUGAUCGGUA
rnacentral:rRNA from 1 species